AUACGUAGGUGACAAGCGUUAUCCGGAUUUCCUGGGUGUAAAGGGCGUGUAGGCGGUUUAGCAAGUCAGAAGGGAAAUUCCCGGGCUUAACUUGGGCGCUGCUUCUGAAACUGCUUUACUUGAGUGCUGGGGAGGAUAGUUGAAUUCCUAGUGUAGCGGUAAAAUGCGCAGAUAUUAGGAGGAACACCGGUGGCGAAGGCGGCUAUCUGGACAGUAACUGACGCUGAGGCGCGAAAGCACGGGGAGCAAACAGGAUUAGAUACCCUGGUAGUCCGUGCCGUAAACGAUGAAUACUAGGUGUAGGGGGUAUCGACUCCCUCUGUGCCGCAGUUAACACAUUAAGUAUUCCACCUGGGGAGUACGGCCGCAAGGUUGAAACUCAAAUGAAUUGACGGGG
rnacentral:rRNA from 1 species